rnacentral:lncRNA from 13 species
CCGCUCAUGUCCAAUCACAGGCUGAUCUUCUCUUCCUGACACAUGAGUCCAGCAUCAUCCCCACCACCCACCUCUGACUGAGACCAGGGUUGUGAUUACGGGCACGAAAUGAAGGAAAAUUGUCUGAAACGGAGUGAUGCGGCAAGGUGUACAGAUGAGGAGGCAUACAAAGGAAACCUGUUCGAUCACCAUGCACUACAAAAUAAUUCUGGCAAUGGAUACAGAGAACAUCAACACAUUAACGUCAACACGCCAGAGGAUAUACCCAUUGGGGCUCUGCAGGGAGUUUUGUCACACCUGCUCCAGAGUGCCAGGCUGCCCAUCAUUACGCACACCGGUCACCUUCGUUACGCGGAUCAGCGCUUCAUUGGACUCACCUGUACUCUUUCACGUUUUGAUUGCCUUCUCUAUAUUUGUCUGUUCCUCUAUUUCAUCCCCGUGUCAGCAUUAUUGUUGUUUAUGUUUUCCCUGUCCACACGCUGUCCGUGGUCUGUUUUGUGCCCGUUGUUUAGUAAGUGUUCACUCCCUGUACUGGCUUCUCGUCUCCCAGCAUCUGUCCUCACAAGUUUACCUCAUAUUUGGAUUUCUUUAUUCUGUUUUGCCACUAAAAUCAUAAUAAACACUGACAGCGAAAUUAUUGUGUUAUUGUUAUGGGUAUUAUUAAUAAUAAUAAUAAUAAUAGGGGACGGGGGUAGCACCCCAAAAGGUUCUUGUGAGUAUCCAUUAAAAGGAGUUCUUUGAAGAACUUAUAGGGGUUCCCCUACAGUUCAAAUUUGAAGAAUCCGUAAAGGAUACUCCAGGAACAUUUUCUUUUUUACAGUGUGUAUAUGUGGGUAGGGGUAAAAGUGACCAGGCAAUCAGGAUAUAGAAUAAACAGAGUAGCAGAAGCAUAUGUAAAGUGUGUCUAUGAGUCAGUGCAAAAACAAUUAAGAUGAAUAAAUAAUAAAGAGGUCAAUGGAAAUUGUCAGAGAAACCAUUUGAUUAACUGUUCAGCAGUCUUAUGGUUCGGGGGGUAUAAACUAUUCAAGAGCCUUUUGGUCACAGACUUGGUGCUCUGGUACCGCUUGCCAGGCGAUAGCAGAGAGAACAGUCUAUGUCUUGCUGCACUUCUAACAUCCAGGCCAGUGUCAUAUACAUCCAAAUGAACUCUUGAUCUGUGAACAUUGGAGGGUUGGAGUUAAAAAUCAAAAUGAAUGGGGGAUUAGCCAUUGUGGGUGACAAUCUGGCACUUGAAGAAAGAGGAAAUUAGGAAUAUAUGUAUAAUUAUUUAACUACAGGUACUGAAGAUGUGAGUGAAAUAGCUGUAAGUAGCAGUGGAAGAUUUGUCCUUUAGUUUAGUCCAAUUAGGGUAGGGAUGGUACGGGGGAAAAAAAUAUUUAGAGAAAAUAUAAAUUGGGAUCAAUAAUGAUGUAAACAAUUAAAUUGAUAGAUCGUAGGUUCUAUCUGCAAUAUUAAAGCUGAUCUAACAUCCAUGUAAAAAAGGAGACAAUUGGUCCAUAGGAUUUUAGACUGUGUUUUAUCUAUAAACUACCAUGGUGACAGAGUAAAAUACGACAUUUGCGUAUCCUUACUACAGCCAUGUGUAACUAAAACCCAUGGUUCUUUGUUUGCAGUACGUUUGCCUUAAAACCCCAUUUGAAUUACAGUAUGUUGCUCAUUGGAAUAUGCCGUCUCUUCACCCAUUUCUAAGAGGCCAGACUCCUUUCGCACUUGCCGUAUGUCUAAACCCCACUGAUGAAUGUGGAGUGUCAAUCUUUGCCUUGUCGAUGGACUGUGAUGAAAAGCAGUGCUUCCUGUUGUCAUUAGUGCUGGUGUCCUUUGAGCAGCACUCCAGGGUCGUUGAACCGGUGGAGGCCAAAUGACCGAGCAGCCACCAUGCAGUAAUGACUCCAGCCCAGGAGGAUGCCACUAACUCAGUCUGUUUAUUUUAAUUAACUCUGAGUCAACAGUUACCGGCAGAGGGAGGAAGGGGAGGGUCACAGUGACGAGGGAUUGCAUGGGGAUUGAGUUAGCCAGCAGCCAUCUGAAGUUGAAAGGAACAGUAAGAGGGAAUCUGAGUGAUUCAGAAAACAAAAAUGCUUGAGUGUUUCAAAUAAUUUGGGGAUGGAGACAGUUCAGGUUAAAUAUCUCAAAAUGUCUGGACUUGUUUAUACAGUAUGAAUAUUGAAAUAUCACACCGAAAAAUGUGCAUAUUGUCUGUCUAGCAUGUAGAUGUGUGGAAUACAACUAUUGUAGACUACAGUGUGUGUGUGUGAGAGAUACAGACAGACAGAACACAAAGUUGAGGAACAUCAGGAUGGGCAUGUCCUCUCACUCCCCUCUCCUAGCCUGGGCUUGUUGGGUCCUGUGCUGGGGGAAGAAUAUGCAGUGAACCUGGUGAUCAACUGCAGUAAAUGUGCAGUGGGCCUGGUCUGUUAACCUGGCUCUGGUCUCCAUUGCCUAUCAUCAGUAUGUGUGUCACCCUGUCAUUAUCCUGAUCAUACUCCUCCUCUCUAGCACGCUCAUGUUGGCUCCAUCUUAAUGAAAGGGAGAGCUCUGGUGCUAAUGGAUCUGUACUACGUCAUCAUAGACAGACAGACUGACAGACGCUCACGCACGCACGCACACAACAAAUGCCCCAACAAGUGCCUCCAGCACACACACACACACACACACACACACACACACACACACACACACACAGUAUAGUCUACAUUAAUUUAUCUUAUAAAUGCUAGAAUGUGUACACAUUCUUUCUGUGUUAUUUCAGUAUUCAUACUGUAUACACUAUGCACAAGUCCAGGCAUUAUUAAACUGUGGGAAGCGGAUGACUGGAAACAGAUUGUUUGUUAUCGGAAUCAAAUUGUUGCUGCCAGUUAGUUUCCAUGUCAUUAUGUGGAAGGCUGUGUUGUGAUCGUUUGUCUCCUCGGCUGUGGCAAGGCAUGGGUCUAUCCCUUUAUACAGUUUAUAAUCUGCAAUGGGGGUAUUCCUUUAUACAGUCUAUGGUCUAAACCGGCAUCCUUAUGAUUCAUGCAACCCUCAUCCGAUGUAUAUGAUUGCCUUUGGUUAACAUUUCACCUCUUCAUCUCUUUCCCGUAACAGAUGUGAGAAGCUCAGAAAGAAUUAAGAGCUUGUAAUUAUAGCUCACAUCUGUGAGACAGUUCACAGAGUCACGGAGUUCCACAGGCUGUGAGUCUGUAAGUCUAGUUGUCUGUCUGUGUAUAUACAGUACAGUGUCUACGGGACCGGGUGAGGUGGUUAUGUGUUUUCAUAGAGAGGAUGAUGGUUGUGAGGACUUGAAACCUGCUGGGGCUCCAGGAAGUUUAUCAUUGGCGCAUGGACACAUUAGUGACGGGACAAUGUGGAUUUGUCUGGCACCUGAUUGGCAGAUUUUGUCCGAAGGGAGUGCUCAUUGGUUGGGGUGGCCAAAUGUGACAAUACAGGGCCAUUUCCACUAUUUAAAAAGUGUCUAUUUGAUUGGCCAAGUUUUUUUAUUGGCCUUGCUAAACAAGGGUUUCUCUCUUCCUGAGGCUUUUAGCUUUUUCCUCAUAACAAGCCAUUAGUCCUCAUAAGCCAUUCGUGUUUAGUAGUGAGAACUCCUUGACCAAAAGACACCCUGUUAUAAAUGAGCUCUAUCAGCAAGGAAAUCCUCCUUUGAUAAACAAGGACGUUUGCCCCCAGGUGAAUGAAACUCAAAGAUUGCGCAAGGUUUCACAGCCUUAAUGUCCUACUCUGAUAUUUACAGCCAUUUUUUUUUUAAACAAUUGAAUGAAUGAUACCCACUGAUUAUCAUGUAUAAACGCCUCAUGAUCUUACAUCAUAAUCCCACUGUAGCCUUGAACAGGGUACUAGUAGACAGUCGAAAAACACUUUUUUUUUUGUAGUAAUUCUUUUUUAACAUCCUCCUUUUUCUUUCUUUGCCAUAGACCAGGAAUAGCUGGGAAUAACUGGGAAUCCGAUGCUUUGACUUGGUAGGCAGGAAGGCUUGUUUACGUGUUAACCAAAUUGCAGCCCGGAGUGCCACAAGGCACCCGCAUACCGUUCCUGGGGUUCCUGUCUGAGUGGAGGCAGUAGAGUAGAGGGACUCAAACUUGGUGACUCAUAUACUGUAUAGGACAUCAACUGAGAGGAGGGGGCUUGGGGGUCGACUUCGCCCAGUGCUGUAUCCACUACUUCCUAGAGAUCUACACAGCCUACUCCACAUUUUCAAAGUGAAAGAAAGUUAUAGAACAUAUUCUAAAUUCUUAGGGCAACAUACACUGAGAAUACAAAACAUUGAGAAUAUAGGGUGAAUGGGCAAGACAAAAGAUUGAAGUGCCUUUGAACGUGGUAUGAUAGCAGGUGCCAGGUGCACCGGUUUGUGUCAAGAACUGCAACAUUGCUGGGUGUAUCAAGAAUGGUUCCACCACCCUAAGGACAUCCAGCCAACUUGACACAACUGUGGGAUGCAUAUGAGUCAACAUGGACCAGCAUCCCUGUGGAACACUUUCAACACCCUGUUGAGUUCAUGCUGUGAUGAAUUGAGGCUGUUCAACUCAAUAUUAGGAAGGUGUUCCUUAUGUUUGGUAUUGCUCAAGCUCAUUCAAUUUGGUUGGGAAUCAUUGAUGGACAGCAUCACAGCCAUGUUCAAACCAAUAUUCAAACCUACUCAACACCACUUGGAAAGCCAUUCUGGUGUCUUUGGCAUUAAAAUGUCAGAAAAAUAAAACUCAGGGUUGGUUUUCAGAAGACUGAUCCCCACUUUCCUCUAACAUUUUACCUGAGCUUUGCUCCAUUCAUAUUUAUUUUGAUCCUGACAAACUCCCCAAUCCCUGAAAAUACAUGCAUAACCAUAGUAACCAAAUAAAUAGAGGGGGUUUCACUCUGAUUUAUUGGAAUUGACCCAACCAUGUAGUUUUUUAAUUUAUGGCAAAAAGUUAAUUUAUUUGCUGUGUUGUCUUGCUUGUAUUACUUAACAGCCUUUUUGCAAACGUAAUGGAUGAUUUGGAGUGGAUUAUUUAACACAGGUUUCUUUCUUUUCACUUUUUCAUACAGGCUGUCACGACUUCUGCCGAAGUCGGUUCCUCUCCUUGUCUGGGUGGCGCUCGGCGGUCAAUGUCGACGGUCUUCUAGCCAUCGCCGAUCCACUUUUCAUUUUCCAUUGGUUUUGUCUUUGUUUCCCACACGCCUGGUUUUCAUUUCCCAAUUACUGGUCAUGUAUUUCACCCUCUGUUUCCCCCAUGUCUUUGUGUGUGAUCGUUUAUGGUUCAGGUCGGUAUGUUUCCGGCUGGUUUUGUCCGGGUGCUGUUUUCACCCGUGUUUUGUGGCAACCGUUAUUGUUCGCACAUUGGUACUGUUACUUGUGCUAUUUCUUAAGUAAAGUGCGUUGUUCACUCAUCUCUGUUCUCCUGCGCCUGACUUCAUGCACCAGCUACACCCACCGCCUGACACAGGCCAGUAAUAUGGAGUGAAUGCAAUAUUGUUGAUCCCUUUGUAUUUUCAAGUAUUGUGGUGGCAGCAUCAUGUUAUGGGUAUGCUUGUCACCGGCAGAGACUGGGGAGUUUGUUAGAAUCAAAAUAAAUAUAAAAGGAGCAAAACCCAGAUAAAAUGUAUUCUGAAAACCUAACCCUGGCAUAUGGUUUUAUUUUUCUGUGGGACAUUUACACACAUUGUUAUGCAAAAGACACACCA